AGUGGUUUUUUUUAUUGGUUAAGCUCUUGACUGCUAACCAAACGGUCGGUGGUUCAAACCCACCAGCCACUC
rfam:Loxodonta africana unplaced genomic scaffold scaffold_15, whole genome shotgun sequence.